rnacentral:ncRNA from 1 species
GCAUAAUUACUGGGGUGCCGAAUUGAGGCUGAGAUCAAACCCAUUGACCAUGAUCAGCGUAAUGGCUGCGUAUGGAAGUUAAACAGCUUGGAGU